AGCAGUGUGGCUCAGUGGAAAGAGCACGGGCUUGGGAGUCAGAGGUCAUGGGUUCAAAUCCCUGCUCAGCCA
rnacentral:tRNA from 1 species